UACAGAGGUCUCAAGCGUUGUUCGGAUUCAUUGGGCGUAAAGGGUGCGUAGGUGGCGGGGUAAGUCAGGUGUGAAAUCUCGGGGCUCAACCCCGAAACUGCACUUGAUACUGCCUUGCUCGAGUACUGGAGAGGAGAUUGGAAUUUACGGUGUAGCAGUGAAAUGCGUAGAUAUCUGGAGGAACACCGGUGGCGAAGGCGGCAUUCUGGACCGAUAUUGACGCUGAGGAGCGAAAGCCAGGGGAGCAAACGGG
rnacentral:rRNA from 1 species